CAUAAAUCUGAGAAACGUGAGUUUUGUCUUCAUUGUUUAUCUAGACAUAGGAUAGGUUGUGUGAAAAUAUUACUGAUGUUUAACGUUAAAAAUGGACCAAAAGAUUAAUGCUAAACAACAUUUGACAUGUUUGAACGAACAUAAAUAGAUUAUUUACUAGGUUUUUUUAGCUUUUCGGCGUGAUUUUACACUCCCCCCACCACGUUUUGUGGGAGCAUAAUGAACGCUAAGUACUUGGUGUUAUUUGGACAUAAAUUAUGAACUUUGUCAAAAGAAACCACAUUUGUUCCGGACCUGGGAUGCCUUCCGGACCUGGGAUGCCUGCCUUCUGAUGGAGAUAAUCAAAGGCUCGAAACAGAAGUUGAGACCAGAAUAAUUGGAGCCGCUAGAGCGCGAUGAGCCAAGAGGGGAUCCUGACGAAACCAGGAGGGGCAGCAGUGCUGAAGGAGUAUGAGUACACAGGGACAAUCUGUGACAAGUUCAAGAAGGCAGAUGGUGAACAUCCUUACAGGGCAUAUGACUGAGUCUAAGGGGAGAAUCCCUCAGCGACAUACCAAGGAGAAGUACGCCCUGGGGAUUUUCACCUUGUUUCCUGCACUUUAAGAUCCGCUCUCCAGGAAAGGAUAUGAGCAUUUCUAUGACAGUCAGAGUGAUUCUGGAUUUCUGGCAUGGUGUCUGAAGACCAUUUAGAGAAAGACAAGACUUGCUGUGUGUCUAGACACUCUGAAAACAAAAGCGUCAGGAUGCCCAAUGCACGGAAGAGAUAUGAGACACCUUAAUGACCAGCUAGAAGAGGAGAGCUGCCGAGGCCAUAUCACUGAUGAACCAUACCAAUGACCAAGAGAUGAUCCUGCAGAAAAUGAAUGAAACAUUUGAGUACAGACAGGGCCUCGUCCACAAUCCUGACACGUCCUCUAAAGUCCUCUCUGUGUUCCUACGGCUGUUGGAUACAAAGGGAUUGGUACAUUUGCAAUUAAUCAUAGUAUCGCUGUCCUGCAACACAAUUUAAUGGUCCACUCCCUUUAAGAGUGUGCUCCUAAUCUCAGCUCGUUACCUGUAUAAAAGACACCUGGGAGCCAGAAAUCUUUCUGAUUGAGAGGGGGUCAAAUACUUUUUACCCACAUUAAAAUGCAAAUCAAUUCAUAACAUUUUUGACAUGCGUUUUUCUGGAUAUUUUUGUUUUUAUUCUGUCUCUCACUGUUCGAAUAAACCUACCAUUCAAAUUAUAGACUGAUCCUUUCUUUAUCAGUGGGCAAACAUACAAAAUCAGCAGGGGAUCAAAUACUUUUUCCCCCCACUGUAUGUUUUGUUCGAUAAAGUUCAUAUUUAUAUCCAAAAACAGCAUUUUACAUUGGCGCGUGAUGUUCAGAAAAUGUAUUCCCACCAAAACGCCGGUGAAUGUGCACAUCAAUUUACAAAAAUUCUCAUCAUAAAUGUUGACAAAAUAUAUAACAAUUAUUUAAAGAAUUAUAGAUAGACUACCCCUGGAUGCAACCGCUGUGUCAGAUUUUAAAAUGGCUUUACGGAGAAAGCACAUUUUUCAAUAUUCUGAGUACAUAGCUCAGCCAUCACGGCGAGCUAUACAGACACCCGCCAAGUUCGGGGCAAACUAAACUCAGAAUUACUAUUAGAAAAAUUAUCUUACCUUUGCUGAUUUUCGUCAGAAUGCACUCCCAGGACUGCUACUUCCACAAGAAAUGUUUUUGUUUGAAAUAAUCCAUAUUUAUGUACAAAUACCUCAGUUUUGUUUGUGCGUACAGAUCACUUAUCCAAAGGCAUAACGCGUGUGCGCGGAACGAGAGACGAAAAGUCUAAAUGUUCCUUUACCGUACUUAGAAGCAUGUCAAACGCUGUUUAAAAUCAAUCUUUAUGGUAUUUUUAACGUAAAAUUGCGAUAAUAUUCAAACCAGAAAAUAGCGUAUUCAUUCAAGGAGAAAAAGAAGGGACAGCAUAUCCAAUCCCUUUGUUGCCAGGCAGUCCACUCUGAAACUGAGCUCCUAUUAUCUGCCCAGUGACAGGAAAAUGCUCAAACCACUUUCUGAAGGCUUUGGACAGCCAAUGGAAGCCUAAGGAAGUGCAACGUCCCCCACAGACACUGUAGCUUCGAUAGAGAAUCAAAAGAAGAACUACAAUUCUCAGACUUUUCACUUCCUGCUUGGAUUUUUCGAAGGUUUUUGCCUGCCAUAUGAGUUCUGUUAUACUCACAGACACCAUUCAAACAGUUUUAGAAACUUCAGAGUGUUUUCUAUCCAAAUCUACUAAUAAUGUGCAUAUUCUAGCUUCUGGGCCAGAGUAGUAACCUAUUUAAAUUGGGUACGUUUUUCAUCCGGCCGUGAAAAUACUGCCCCCUAGCCCAGACAGGUUAAUGAAGACGGAGUCAUCUAUGAUUCUCCGAAUGAUAUUUUAAAAGAGGAAGCUAAUUAUUUUAGGCAGAUAUUCUCUUUUCCGUCUCAUCCUCUCCCACUGAAUAGAGAUUAUGGUAAGGAAUUCUUUCCAAACAAUAUAUUUAAAAAAAAAUUACAAAUGUACAGAAAGAUCAGUGCGAAGGCCAAAUUACAGAGGAAGACUUUUUGAGGCUAUUAAAUCCUUUCUGUCUGAAAAAAACCCAGGGCUUGAUGGCAUACUGGUAGAGGUAUAUCAAGUAUUUUUUUUUAUAUAGUUAAAGCUCCAUUGUUAGAUUGUUCUAACUACUCCUAUAGGAAUGGUAGUCUGUCAGCAGGAAGGUCUGAUUUCUCUAUUAUUAUAACAAGACCCAGAUGGCAAAUAUAAAGACCCGGUCUAUCUAAAAAACUGGAGGCCCCUUACACUUCAAUGUUGUGAUGCAAAAUGCAUAGCACUCAGAAUUAAAAGGGUUUUUACCAGGUAUUGUUCAUCCUGACCAGACAGGUUUUUUACAUGGACGAUACAUUGGAGAUAAUAUACGACAACUACUAGAAAUAGUAGAACAUCAUGAAACAUAUACAAGUAGCCAGGAAUGGUAUUUAUAGCGGAUUUUGAAAAGGCAUUUGAUAAAGUAAGACUGGAUUUUAUUUAUACAUUUCGGUAAUUCUCUUAUAAAAUGGGUCAAAAUGAUGUAUAGCAACCCCAGGUGUAAAAUAGUAAAUAACGGCUACUUCUCAGAGAGUUUUGAAUUGUCAAGAGGAGUUAAACAAGGGUGUCCGCUGUCACCAUAUCUAUUCGUUAUGGCCAUCGAAAUGCUAGCUAUUAAAAUCAGAUCCAAUAACAACAGAGGAUUAGAAAUCCAAGUCUUAAAAACAAAGGUGUCCAUGUAUGCCGAUGACUCAAGUUUUAUGUUAAGUCCGCAAGCUAGAUCCCUGCAAUGUCUCAUUAAAGAUCUAGAUAACUUUUCUGUACUCUCUGGACUAAAACCUAAUUAUGAUAAGUGUACAAUAUUACGUAUUGGAUCCUUAAAAAAUACAACUUUUACAUUACCUUGCAGCUUACCUAUAAAAUGGGCUGAUGGUAGUAGACAUAAAAUGGGCGGAUGGAAGUAGACAUACUCGGUAUUCAUAUCACAAAAGAUAUAAAUAAGCUCUCCACAAUGAAUUUCAAUAGAAAACUUGUAAAAAUAGACAAGAUCCUGCAACCAUGGAGAGGUAUUUAUUUAUGGAAAAAUUGCCCUGAUUAAAUACCCAGUCAUAUCUCAGUUUACUCACUUACUUAUAGCGCUGCCUACUCCUGAUGAUUUGUUUUUCAAAUCAUAUAAGCAAAAUAUAUUUCGCUUUAUCUGGGAUGCUAAACCAGACAAAAUAAAACGAGCCUAUCAAUAUAAUGAAUAUGAAUUGGGUGGGUUGAGAUUAUUAAAUAUAAAAGCACUAAACCUCUCUCUAAAAGCUUCACUCAUUCAAAAGUUUUAUUUGAACCCUAAAUGGUUCUCAAGUAGAUUAAUAAGAAAAGCUCAUCCAUUGUUUAAAAAUUGCCUUUGUGCAGAUUGCCAUGUCCCAUUUUCGAUUAAUUGAAAAUUCUACUUUUUUCAAAGUAUCUGUCUUUUUCAAACAAGCAUUGCAGAGCUGGCUAUAAUUUCAAUUUCAUCCCCCUGAAAAGAUAGAACAAAUAUUACAAGAAGUAUUAUGGCUGAACUCAAAUGUGCUGGUUGAUAAAAUAAUUGUAUUUAAUGGAAAGAUGUUUGAAAAUGGUAUUUUGUUCUUAAAUAAUAUUGUAAAUUAUAAUGGUAGAGUUAUGUCCUUCAUGGAGUUAUCAGAAUUGUACGGGAAGGUCUGCUCAAUCCAAGAGUACAACCAAUUGAUUACAGCAUUGCCCCAAAAAUUGAGGAGGCGGGUGGCAGCGGGAGGAGGUGGGGAGCUGGUCUGUCUGCCUAAUAUAAAGGAUCAAAACUGGCGGAGGAAUAAAAAUAGCAUAAAUAGGAAAGUAUACCAGUUUUAUUUGAGGACCAGGAUGUUGACAACUGUGUCAUACAGAUUGCAAAAUAGUUGGGAAGAGAUUUUUGAUGUACCGAUUCCAUGGUACAGGGUGUAUGAGUUGAUAUAUAAAACAACGCAAGAUUCAAGACUUCGUGCUUUUCAGCUAAAAUUAUUAUAUUGAAUUCUUGCCACCAACAAAAUGUUGAAUAUUUGGGGUAUAAAAUCAUCGAAUCUCUGCAGAUUUUGUUUCGAGGAUACAGAAUCAAUAGACCAUUUAUUUUGGUAUUGCCCUCUGGUAGCCUGUUUCUGGUCUCAGGUUCAGGAAUGGCUGAAAAUGCAUAGCAUUGAUCUAAAAUUGACCCUAGAAAUAGUACUGUUAGGAGAUCUGGAGAGACCGGGUCAGUCAAUUACUAAUACUCUUAGUAAAAGUAUUUAUCUUCAACAUGUAGAUUCUAUUCGAUUAGAUAGAUUGAAAUUGUACGUUAAACAUCAUAGCAUAGUUGAAAGAUAUGUGUUGCGUAGAAACACGAAGUGGGUGGCCAGCAGAGAUAGAUGGGAUGGGCUGAGGGAAGCUGAGGGUUGGUAUGUGGAAUUGGAGACAAGUGGGAGUGGAGUUGCUGUGUGAGAGAGAGAAUGAUGGUCAAAAGAUAAAGGAAAAAAACAUCAAAAUAAAACAUAAUAAAAGUACAUUUGAAUGACACUAAGUGGCAGUGUUUUUACAACUAAUGCCGGUUUGCCUGAGGCUGAUGCCGUGCAGGUGUUUGUACACAUGCAUAUACACACACUCUCAUUCAAAUAAACACAUACAAGAACACACACAUACAUGUAAUAGUGCCAGACAUGCACACAAACAUAUAAAGUAGGCAUUGCUGUUAUGAUUUCAGUUGUCCUUGAUGUCCUUUUUUUAAAAUGUAUUAUUUUUAUUGUUGUUUGCUGUUUUCUUCUGUCUUUUCCUUUUUUCUCUUUAGUUCAUUCUCUUGGUUGUUGGUGCAUUGGGG
rnacentral:lncRNA from 1 species